rnacentral:rRNA from 1 species
UAGUCCACGCCGUAAACGAUGGACACUAGAUGUUGGAGGACUUGAUCUUUCAGUGUCGUAGCUAACGUGUUAAGUGUCCCGCCUGGGGAGUACGUCCGCAAGGAUGAAACCCAAAGGAAUUGACGGGGGCCCGCACAAGCGGUGGAGCAUGUGCUUUAAUUCGAUGCAACGCGAAGAACCUUACCUGGUCUUGACAUACCAUUGACCGCUCAAGAGAUAGAGUUUUAUCUUCGGAUACAGUGGAUACAGGUGCUGCAUGGUUGUCGUCAGCUCGUGUCGUGAGAUGUUGGGUUAAGUCCCGCAACGAGCGCAACCCUUGUCCUUAGUUGCUAGCAGGUAAUGCUGAGAACUCUAAGGAGACUGCCCACGCAAGUGGGAGGAAGGUGAGGAUGACGUCAAAUCAUCAUGGCCCUUACGACCAGGGCUAGACACGUGCUACAAUGGCUGGUACAAUGGGUUGCUAACUGGUGACAGUAUGCUAAUCUCAAAAACCGGU